rnacentral:rRNA from 1 species
UACGUAGGGGCCGAGCGUUGUCCGGAGUUAUUGGGCGUAAAGCGCGCGCAGGCGGCUUCGCGCGCCCGACGUGAAAGACCCCGGCUCAACUGGGGGGCGUCGUGCGAUACGGGCGGACUGGAGGCCAGUAGGGGGAUGCGGAAUUCCGGGUGUAGUGGUGGAAUGCGUAGAGAUCCGGGGGAACACCAGCGGCGAAGGCGGCAUCCUGGACUGGUCCUGACACUCAGGAGCGAAAGCGUGGGGAGCGAUCCGG